AUUGAACGCUGGCGGCAUGCCUUACACAUGCAAGUCGAACGGUAGCGGGUCCUUCGGGAUGCCGACGAGUGGCGAACGGGUGAGUAAUAUAUCGGAACGUGCCCAGUAGUGGGGGAUAACUGCUCGAAAGAGCAGCUAAUACCGCAUACGACCUGAGGGUGAAAGGGGGGGAUCGCAAGACCUCUCGCUAUUGGAGCGGCCGAUAUCAGAUUAGCUAGUGGGUGGGGUAAAGGCCUACCAAGGCAACGAUCUGUAGUUGGUCUGAGAGGACGCCCAGCCACACUGGGACUGAGACACGGCCCAGACUCCUACGGGAGGCAGCAGUGGGGAAUUUUGGACAAUGGGCGCAAGCCUGAUCCAGCAAUGCCGCGUGCAGGAAGAAGGCCUUCGGGUUGUAAACUGCUUUUGUCAGGGAAGAAAUCUUCUGGGCUAAUACCCCGGGAGGAUGACGGUACCUGAAGAAUAAGCACCGGCUAACUACGUGCCAGCAGCCGCCGUAA
rnacentral:rRNA from 1 species